rnacentral:rRNA from 1 species
UACGUAGGUGGCAAGCGUUGUCCGGAUUUACUGGGCGUAAAGAGCGCGCAGGCGGUCGUUCACGUCGCGUGUGAAAGCCCCCGGCUCAACUGGGGAGGGUCACGCGAUACUGAUCGACUCGAAGGCAGGAGAGGGUAGUGGAAUUCCCGGUGUAGUGGUGAAAUGCGUAGAUAUCGGGAGGAACACCAGUGGCGAAGGCGACUACCUGGCCUGUUUCUUGACGCUGAGGCGCGAAAGCUAGGGGAGCAAACGGG